CAGCAGCCGCGGUAAUACGAAGGGUGCAAGCGUUAAUCGGAAUUACUGGGCGUAAAGCGUGCGUAGGCGGUUCGUUAAGUCUGUUGUGAAAGCCCCGGGCUCAACCUGGGAAUGGCAAUGGAUACUGGCGAGCUAGAGUGUGUCAGAGGAUGGUAGAAUUCCCGGUGUAGCGGUGAAAUGCGUAGAGAUCGGGAGGAACAUCAGUGGCGAAGGCGGCCAUCUGGGACAACACUGACGCUGAGGCACGAAAGCGUGGGGAGCAAACAGGAUUAGAUACCCCUGUAGUCCCUGUCUCUUAUAA
rnacentral:rRNA from 1 species